UGCCAGCCGCCGCGGUAACACGGAGGCCCCAAGCGUUGUUCGGAAUUACUGGGCGUAAAGAGUGCGUAGGCGGCGGGGUAAGUCAGAUGUGAAAGCCCGGGGCUCAACCCCGGAAUAGCAUCCGAUACUGCCCUGCUAGAGGAUUGGAGAGGAGACUGGAAUUCACGGUGUAGCAGUGAAAUGCGUAGAUAUCGUGAGGAAGGCCAAUUGCGAAGGCAGGUCUCUGGACAACUCCUGACGCUGAGGCACGAAGGCCAGGGUGGCGAAAAGGAUUAGAUA
rnacentral:rRNA from 1 species